rnacentral:rRNA from 1 species
GGGUGACGAGCGGCGGACGGGUGAGUAAUGUCUGGGAAACUGCCUGAUGGAGGGGGAUAACUACUGGAAACGGUAGCUAAUACCGCAUAAUGUCGCAAGACCAAAGAGGGGGACCUUCGGGCCUCUUGCCAUCAGAUGUGCCCAGAUGGGAUUAGCUAGUAGGUGGGGUAACGGCUCACCUAGGCGACGAUCCCUAGCUGGUCUGAGAGGAUGACCAGCCACACUGGAACUGAGACACGGUCCAGACUCCUACGGGAGGCAGCAGUGGGGAAUAUUGCACAAUGGGCGCAAGCCUGAUGCAGCCAUGCCGCGUGUAUGAAGAAGGCCUUCGGGUUGUAAAGUACUUUCAGCGGGGAGGAAG